rnacentral:tRNA from 1 species
CAUUAUGAAGCUAUAUAAGCGUUAACCUUUUAAGUUAAAAACUUGAGGGAAUAGCCCUCCAUAAUGG